CGCGCCUCCUCCUCCUCCAAUCCCCUCCUGCACUCCUCCUCCUCUAAUCCCCUCACGCGCCAUGGAGAAACCCUAGCCGCCAGUCGCUCCCGCGGCCGCCAACCAUGGCGCCCCUGCCCCUUCCUGCUCACCCUGCCUCUCCUUGAUCUCCUCUCCCGGCGCCCCCUCCCAAGCCCCUCCGCUGGAGCGGCGCCGCAGGUGGAGCUUGGCGCGAGCGCGCGGGUGAGGCGUUGCCCCAUAGUAUUUCCAUCCGCUCAUCCCAGCAGCCUCUUCUCUACCGAUUUGGCUCGAGUCCUUGGGAUCUACGGACUCCGUUUUUGGCUCCUCUUCGUCGCGCCCAACAGCAGGCUGAGCCUUGUCUCCUCCAAUCGGAAGAUCCCGCCAUGUUCCUCGAGUCAGAGCUGCGCUGAGCCAACAGAUCCGCCAAGAUCAUCUCCUGGUCGAGCUCGUCGCCUCUCUGUCCCCUAGAAGAAGUCCAUACCACUGAUGCGGUUCUACCAAAGAUUAUGCCCUUAUCUAUUGGUGCAGAACUUUUUCAGGUCUGCAGUGCAAGUCGGGAUUUUUCUCUUUCUUCAAAGAAAAAUACUCUUGCAGUCCUCCCAUCCUCGGGUUUCUUCAACUUAUUAUUAUUGGGCAUUGUCUGCAAAACUUAAUUUCCGUGGUACCUUCAUGGUGUGGAGUCCCUGAUCAAGGCCAGGGCGCUGCAGAGCUCCGCGCUAGGACCAACAAGGUCGGAGAACUGCAGCCCUGCAGCUGGCUACCACAUCUCCCAUCGGUACAUAGUAUCUUCCAGCCUCACUCUUCUGUGCCUAUGUGGAUGGUUGUUUUGAUCAAAUGGUACUAUAUUAUAUCCAUAUCCUCUACCCACGCAUGUUCGUUUUACCAUCACUGUGAGAAGAUUAGCCCUUCAGAGUGGUGGUGGUGGUGGUUGGAGGUGAAGGCAAGGUUGUUUUUCUUGGUGAUUUUUCAUUUGUUACUGAACAAGACUCUGAACAUAUUUAGUUCAUGCCUUUCUAUCUUAUAGCAGUGUAAAGGAACCUCUUGCAGGAUUGUUUCCAAAUACAUAGAUAGGGAUUUAUUUGCACACAAACUUGGUAAGUUCAGUCUGGUUGGUGAUUGUGGCGCUUAGCAUACAGAGCACGACCGGUGUUGUUUCGUCACAUUGAGACAAGGUGAUGGUAUCUUCCUCCAUAUUAGGUGAUGUCCUUUCUGAAUCCUCUCUGUGAUGCCAAUAUUGAUGCAUAAGGUCGUUGAUAAUUUGGCGAUAUUAUAUAAUGGAUUGCAGGUGACUAACUCAACUAUAUUUAGGUGUACAAAAAAUAUAUAGAGCAAGUUGAUUUUACGGAAUUAGUUGUUGCUAAUUGAGAAAGGCUAAGUGGCUUACCUGAGAUGUUGCACAUUGUUAUGAUCGAUGGUUACGCUUCGUUUUCUGAAGAAAAUUCUACCAAACCAAAACAAAAUACAGAACUCCACAUACACUUAAGCUAGCAGUUGUUUCUCUUUGUUAACUCUAACUAUUGAGCGGUAACGUAUAGUCACAGUGCAGGCCGCCUACCGACGGGCCUCCGCUUGC